rnacentral:lncRNA from 1 species
GUUCCUGUUAAAUAUAUAUCUCAAGUUAAUUCCAUGAUAUUGCGUUAGCCUUCGCAAGUACUAGAAGUCAUAAAAGCUAGCCUUCCAAGUUCACGUUCUCUCAUUUCACAAUGUUCGAUCUGUAUGCGCCACCAUGGGAAUGCAGACUCAUGUCAUUUUACAACGCCAUGUUUCUACAGUGGCUGACAGUCGACAAAUCAAACGACUAGAUACCAAAUUGCGUUUUUCACACGUUUGAAAUCUGCGGAUUUACCACUAGAUGUCCCUAUAUGAUUAUCCAUACUAUUCAUAAGAAAAAACAGAAUAUACCCUAAAACUAUGCAAAAAACAAGUACGAUUUACCCCAAAUCUAUGCUAAAACGUUAAAUAAAAACCAAACACAAGUGCCAAUAAAUGUUUGUUUUAUUUAUGAACCAUCUGUCAUCAGGAAAAGGAACCAAGUGCAACAGAACAAAACAAAGAAGUGCAGGGACCGGGAGCUGUGGAGGAACCGGAACUGAGUGGAACAGAACUAAACAAAGAAGCUCAGGAACAGGGGGUUGAGAAUGUAGAGGUGCAGCAGGAGGAGGUGCCUCAGCAGGAGGGACAACAGGAUAACCCUUCCCAAACAGAGGAAGAGCUCAAUACCCCUGAGGAUAUUUUAGUUUCCCCAUACCAACCAGAUGCACAGCUAAUUGAGCCACAAACUCUGCCCAACCGCACUCUCCGAUUCCAGGAGAGCUGGUUCAAAGACUACCCCUGGCUACAUUACAGUUCUGAAAUUAAAGGAGUUUUGUGUUUCUACUGUGUAAAGGCCUUUAAACAUAAUAUUCCAACAAUGGCCAGAAAUACAGAACAAACCUUCAUUUCCUUGGGGUUCAGGAACUGGAAGAAGGGUAGGGGGGCGUUCGACAAGCACACCAACAGUAAGGCACACAUUGUUGCUGUAAACAAACACACACA